UAAUAUAGACUCCAUACUUAAUUCUCUUCUGCUGGACAUUUCUCUCUCUGCUGUGUGGUGGUUCAAAACUACACAGACACCGAUCUUAAUGGAGGGAUUAGGGUGCUAUGUUAUCACUUCAACACACUGCUUUAGUCCAUAAAAUUCCCAGAGACAUAGCUAUCUUUAUGAGCCAUCACACGGUUUUAGUAGGACAUUUGAGGUUGGACUAAGUCCAUGUUUGGCUGCUUAUAUUAAAUUGUCAUUCCAAAAUUGGGUGUAUUUCAGCAGGGCUGGCUGGCAUUGAGCACACUCAUCUGUGCUAUCACCAAGCCGGUGUACCCAGACCUGUCUCUGCAUCUACGGUGCCAUACCCAUCCCACUGUUCACCCAGGGUUAUGGGCACCAAGGCUGACUCAGUGGGAAAUAAGUACCUGAAUUGUUCAGCCAUUGUAUUCCAAUUCCAGACCAUUUAUAAACAAAUGCAUCUUCAGUAGAAAGCAGUUUACCUGACAAAAUACUUUUGUUUGCUUUGAUCUUAUUUUUAAUUUUCGUUUUGGUUCAACAAUUUAAGCUGAAAUAGGGGUAGAAGUUCCAGGGUGCCAUGUGAAAGGACAAAACAAGGGUGCAAGGAUGCACCUGGAAAAUAAUUGAGACCUCAAGAGAGAAUCUUUUCAGUCCUUUUUCCCCUGAUGUUUCAAAGGCUGACAUAGGCCAGUCUUAAAUGACUAAUGGAGCUAUCAACCCUGCUUUAUUAAGCAUAUGCCCAGCAGUUGCUGAUGACAAGCCAGCUGCUAGCUGGACACUGGCCUGCCAGCUCCUUGCAGCAGACCCCUUCUGUUAAUCCAUGUUUGCAAUUCACAAACUUCAACAGCCUCACUGAGGCCAAAGUGUGCCACAGCCUCUCAUACUCUUGUUAUUAUAAAAUGAGUCCAUACCUUCAAAAGGGAGGUAGUAAUAACUGUUUCAUAGAAACAACAGUCAACGUGACUACUGUUAUAAGCGACAGGCUCCAAAAGUAGACAUUUCCAGACAGCAUCUCUCUUGGGUGCCUAGUACAAAGUUUUCUUUUCAAUGUCCCGUAGUCAGUUCCUCAUCAGCACAACAAAAUGCAAACUCCCUGCUCCUCCUGGAAAACAGCUCUACCUUUUGAUAUUGUCACCCUCCUUCCCCUCCUUUUUACAUUUUUUUUUCAAGAGGACUAAAUCAUCGUCUUCAGAUCCGGGUGAAUUCCCUCUCCACUCUGCUGUCCAUAAGCAGGAGUGUGCCAGAUGCCACCUCUAACCUGCAGUUCUGGGGUAAGGUGAUUUCUUACUAAUACAGAAGGAAACAUCUAGGCACCUUCCUGGUUGGAGCAAAAUUUUCUUUAAUAUCUUCAUCCAUUUGUGCUGCUAAAACAAAACAUGAACAUUCAAAUGUUGGAUGUAUCUGAGUUCAUUCCUCAUUUGUGUGACCACAGCACUCAAGUAAAAGAAAUUUAUUUUCUUACAAUGUUGGAGGCUGGGAAAUCCAAAAUCCAGCCACCAGCAUCUGGUGAGGGCUUUCAUCCUGUCAUCGCAGGGUGGAGGAGCAGAAGAGAGGGAACCCACUCCUGUAAGCCCUUUUUAUAGCACCAUAAUCCACUCAUGAGAACAGACCAAAAGGACCCAUCUCUCAACACCACCACACUGGGGAUCAGUUUCCCAUAUGGAUUUUGGGGGACAGAUUCAGACUACAGACAAUAUCCACCAGAAUCUGGACUCCAGCUAAUUCCUGACUGUGAGCUCCUUCCUCAGCCUCCCAAGAACUCUCUGGUCCUAGAUUGAGACUUUUCUUCCCAGUGCCUCCUUGACUUUCCUGUUUUCAACUCCAAUUCCCAUCCCUGAUGGCCACCCCACCCCACCCCCGACAUCCUUACUUGGAAUUUAGGAGUCAUAUUUGAUAUUGUUCUUCCUUGUCCAGAAUCAAUUGGUCUUGGCUUCUCAUAUCUCCAGAGACUAUUGUUUUCAUCUGAGACUUUUGUUAUAAUGAAUAUUGGCCUAGUCUUGGCCUGUGUCAGUCCCUACUAUUUUCUAUACAUAUGGGACAUAAUUACUGGAGUAAUCAUCUGGAAAAUACCACUUUAAUUGUAAGAACCCACAAUUCAAGUUCAUGUCUACAUUCCUUUUUGUUGACCAAAUAAAUUCCAAACUCCCAAACAUAGCAUUUCAGAAAUAGGCCCAAGCCUAUUUUUCCAAACAAUAUUUAUCCAUACUCUUUAUCUUACUCAACUGGUCAACAUUGCCAUUCCCAAAAUAUACGUCAUACAUCUGUGCGGCUCAGCUUAUUCAUACUGCUCUCCUUGCCUGAAAUACUUCAUGCCACUGUAUUGAUUGUGUUGAGUCAGCUCAACAACCCCCUAAAAACUCCAAAGUACCCAGUAUAAGAUUAUAGACAUUAUAAAAUUAUGAGACAAGACAAUUCCUAAAGUCCUUUCCAGCUUAGAAGUCCAUGAUUCAGAGGUAACAUUCUGAAGAGGUAACAUUCUAUCUCCAUCUAUUAUCACUCUGAUCCUCAAGUUGUCACUGAGGCAACCUGUUUGCUUUUAGACACAGUAAGUAUCUCUUCCUUUGGACCAUUCCUUUUAAUUUUCACAUGGGCCAUAAACACAUACCCUCUUGUAUUCCUGUUUUACUUCUCAUGCAUCUGUAUUUUCUCUCUAAUUCUGGAAUCAUGGGGCCCACGUAGCCUACCUCACCUUGAAGUAGAGAGCACCCUAUCAUUAUCCAUUGACGGAUGCUGGGUGAAUCAAAUCAUUAGUGAAAGUUGCUGGAAAAAUAAAUUGGAAACACAGGUACUGCAAGGGGACUCGUUAAAUGUACUCUCGCUGGUCUAAUUGCAUUUAAUUAAGUCCCUCGGGGAAUAAUUGCCCCUUAGGCCAUGUCAUCCAAGGUCAAAGUGACUCAUUUUAAUCAGAACUUCUCCUUGGGGUGAUGGAGCAAUUACAUAGCAUUUGGACUUGCAUCUAUGAUUUGGCUGAGGCCUCAUUUUAAUUUUGCGUCUGAAACAUUUGAAUUCUCAAAUGUAGGAAGAAGAUUUUAUAAAUUAGGCCAAAGAACAGCCUUUAAAACCUGCUUAUAUACUCAUCCCAGAUUUCCUCCCCUUGCUAUAGGCUGUCUUCUCAGAAGCCCUGGACAUAAUGACCUUGGGCAAACUGGGUGUGAAAGGUAACUGAAGGUUAAAAUGAUCUAGUGCUUUUAAUCAGUAUGAUUUGGCUAUUUUAUUUAAGAAUGUAAAAUAAUAUAAUAUAAAUUAUUGUGUGUUACCUUUGAGUCACCACAGUGGCCUUAGCCUCUGGACAUGUUAACCAAGAACUCAUAAAUAGAUUGAUAGUUAGGUUUUACUCUUUGAACACAUUUGUUUAAUCAUUACAAUUAUGGGCUGUGUCUUGAAUCCACAGGCACCUGCUCUUUAAUGUCAAGUUUUAAGGAUUUUGUGAUCAAAGAAAAUGAUUACAGGAACUGCGGAACAACUCUUGUCCAUUGGUCCCUCAAGUCUUGGGGAAAUGUUUGGGUUGAUUUAAAAAUUUAUCACAGUUAUGUGUGAUUUAUUCAUAUAAGACUUUUUAUGCAGAAGUAAGUGAAUUUGUUGUCACUGUUUAGUUCUUGUAAAAAGGCAGCAGGCUAAUUCUUGAAUAAAAAAAUAAAGAAUACUAAACAACAACUUUGGAAUCUAGUGUUAUCAUUUGUUUUUAUUUGGCUUAGAUGUGGAAGAAGGAGGUGGAUUGGUGUCACACUGUUUAGGAAAGACGGACUGCACGGGAGGGACGUUAUUGUACUCAGGCCAGCAUCUGUGGCUCGAUGCCAAUUCUGCCCAUAAAGGUGGUCUGUAACUUUGUGCUCAAAAUUUACUGUUGCUUUAAUUUCUUCAACUGUAACAUGGUGAUAAUUUUUUUAAUCUACUGUUACUGCAUUUUUAGGAUGAUGAGUUGAGAUAAUGUUUUGAAGACAAAGAAAUUACAUUGCUAUAUAUGCUUAACCUAUUAAUAUGAAUUCUUUCAAGUUGCAUUGAGAGCUGUCCUUUGAGCUACUUGGUAAUAACUCAUCUCAACUUCGUUUUUAUCCAUCCAAUUUCAAAAUCUAGUCAUCUGGCCUGUAAGGAUAAUGAUAGCUACAGCUCUGUGUUGAAGCCCUAGCUAGUAAUUCCAUGAUUCCUUAGACUAUCAAAUAUAUAUCAAGUUUCUGACAUAUGCUAAACACUUAUUUUUUAAAAAGCUAGAUUUAAAAUUUACUUGCUAUUACCAAGGGUUGUACCUAAAUAUAAAAAGCCUUAGCAUACAGUUUCCUUAAUAGUUUCUUCAAACUGUUCUUAAAACAGGAAGUAUCCAGUUCAUUAUUGAAAGAGUCAUUUUCUGUAUGCAAUUACUACCCUUAGGAUGCCUCAACAAUACAAAAAGGAGAAUGAAAAUAAACAACAAAACAAUUUGAAAUGAAGAAUGAGAAUUAAAGUUUUCAACUCUGGAAUAAAAUCUGACAAAAUGUCAGGCCAUGCCACAAGUAACUUUAAGGUCUGAAUUAACCUAGACAUGGCACUGAAGAACAGCCACUGGUUUCAAAUAACAUUACCAAAUAACAUUACCACUGCACAGGGAGGGACGUCAUUGACUCAGGCCCGCAUCUGGGGCUCGAUGCCAAUUCUGCCCAUAAAGGUGGUCUGUAACCACCAUGGUUGGUCCUGGUAACUCAGCAAAGAAAUGCUGAGGAGAUGUGAUGAAAAACUCUGGCUCUGGUUCUGUGGUGGGCUGGGUGAUCCUGGGCAAGUCAGGUUAGUAACUAUAGAGAAACCAUGAAUCUCUGGUGUAAAUGGUAGAGAUUGGUACUAGAUGAUUUCUAAGAGUCAUUUUGGGAUCUGCAACUUUAUGAGAAGUAUUGUGUAAUGUAUUAAAAUAAAGUUAUACCCCCAAAGAAAACCAGAUACCCAUUCAUCAUUCUGAGUAGCCCCCACCAAAACAUUUUCAUUUUGUGUACACUGUAUACUCCUUUCAAAACUGUCU